rnacentral:tRNA from 1 species
GCGAGCGUGGCGGAACUGGCAGACGCGCUAGACUUAGGAUCUAGUGCCCAAAAGGUGUGGGAGUUCGAGUCUCCCCGCUCGCACCA